GAUGAAGAACGUAGCGAAAUGCGAUAAGUAAUGUGAAUUGCAGAAUCCAGUGAAUCAUCGAAUCUUUGAACGCACAUUGCGCCCGCCAGCAUUCUGGCGGGCAUGUCUGUUCGAGCGUCAUUUCAACCCUCGACCUCCCUUUGGGGAAGUCGGCGUUGGGGACCGGCAGCACACCGCCGGCCCUGAAAUGGAGUGGCGGCCCGUCCGCGGCGACCUCUGCGUAGUAAUCCAACUCGCACCGGAACCCCGACGCGGCCACGCCGUAAAACACCCAACUUCUGAACGUUGACCUCGAAUCAGGUAGGACUACCCGCUGAACUUAAGCAUAUCAAUAAGCGGAGGA
rnacentral:misc_RNA from 1 species